GACACAACCUCUAUUUUUUAUUGUUUUUCUUUGCCAAAUUUAGAACAAUGCAUUCCAACCCAUGUUUUUUUUUUCUUUUUGUGUAUUCAACCCUUCAACUUUUGGCAUUGCCACUUACACCCAUCAGUUUUCUUUGUAAAAUUUCAUUUUGACCCCCUCGAAUUUUACAUGCUUAUUUUUAUGUACGCGGUAUAAAUCCGAGUUACUUUACAUUUCGACUCCGCGACAACGCGUGGUACCAUUCUUUAACGUAUAAAAACACUAUUUUCUUACGUGCUUUUUUCAAGUACGUUUCAUUAUAAAUCCAAGUUGGUUUAUGACUUUAUGUUUCGACGUAAAUUUUCU
rnacentral:lncRNA from 1 species